AUUGAACGCUGGCGGCAGGCUUAACUCAUGCAAGUCGAGCGGGGGAAGGUAGCUUGCUACUGGACCUAGCGGCGGACGGGUGAGUAAUGCUUAGGAAUCUGCCUAUUAGUGGGGGACAACAUCUCGAAAGGGAUGCUAAUACCGCAUACGUCCUACGGGAGAAAGCAGGGGAUCUUCGGACCUUGCGCUAAUAGAUGAGCCUAAGUCGGAUUAGCUAGUUGGUGGGGUAAAGGCCUACCAAGGCGACGAUCUGUAGCGGGUCUGAGAGGAUGGUCCGCCACACUGGGACUGAGACACGGCCCAGACUCCUACGGGAGGCAGCAGUGAGGAAUAUUGGACAAUGGGGGGAACCCUGAUCCAGCCAUGCCGCGUGUGUGAAGAAGGUCUUAUGGUUGUAAAGCACUUUAAGCGAGGAGGAGGCUACUCUAGUUAAUACCUAGGGAUAGUGGACGUUACUCGCAGAAUAAGCACCCGCUAACUCUGUGCCAGCAGCCGCGGUAA
rnacentral:rRNA from 1 species